CUUCCCCAGCCAACAGCUCUUCCACUUGGCUUCUGGUACCUCCAGGAUUCCCACCAACCUCCAGCCAUGAAGAUCUUCUGCCUCCUCUCUGUUGCCGUCCUCUUCUUGAUGCUGCUGGCUCCAGAUUUCACCAGAGCCCAAGACUCAUGUUGUUAUCCGAGAUGUGAACUUCACAGGGGGACCUGCCAGUGGAGGUGCAGAGCUAACCAAGUGACACUUUUUCGGUGUGGUCGCCAAUGGUGUUGCCGUAGAAGACAUUAACUCUGCAGACCUCCGGUGAAAGACCUCUGGUGAAAGGAAGACCCCCUUGCUCUCCUCUGAUGUGCAGCUGCCUCGACUGCACCCCCCCCCC